UUAAAAGCGUUGACAAAGAAAAGUAGAAAAGUUCAGUUAUUUCAAUAAAAUCUAAUCAAAGUAUAGAUUUUUACAGAGAGUCUCGGUUGCUGAAAAGAGAUGGAAUAAGCCUUUUUGAAACAAGCCUUUGUAGCUGCACAUCGGAACAUUAGGGAUGGUGUGACGGGUUCUUCCGUUACUAAGAGUAUAACCAAAGCAAUUUUUGGCGUACUUGAUAAGAAAAUAAUGGCAACAUUAUUUUGAACUAGGAUGGCACCGCGAUUUUGACUCGCUCCUAAG
rnacentral:ncRNA from 1 species